UGCUCAUCCUGAAAAUCCAAACCAGUUAGCUUUGGGUUUAAACGACGGUGGAGUAGUCGUUAUUGAACCUUCAGAGUCUGAUGGUAAAUGGUGUGAGCCACCCAACGCCACGACUCUUACCAAUGAGCAACCAAUAUAGCAGUAGUUAACUUCGUCCAUUUGAUGAUUUGUCAUCACUUAGAGCUGCUUCUUGCUAUUGACAAACAAUAACUAUAUUUAUUUUAUUUUCAUAAAGACCAUGCUAUAAAUGG
rnacentral:misc_RNA from 1 species